UGAAGCGAAAGCGGAACGACCCUUCGGGGAGCUUUCACAGGUGCUGCAUGGCUGUCGUCAGCUCGUGUCGUGAGAUGUUCGGUUAAGUCCGCUAACGAGCGCAACCCUCGCCGCGUGUUAUACGUGCCACGCGGGACUGCCAGUCUUAAGCUGGAGGAAGGUGGGGAUGACGUCAAGUCAGCAUGGCCUUUAUGUCCUGGGCUACACACACGCUACAAUGGCCGGUACAGUAGGUAGCGAAGCCGCGAGGUGGAGCCAAUCCACAAAGCCGGUCUCAGUUCAGAUUGCAGGCUGCAACCCGCCUGCAUGAAGACGGAGUUGCUAGUAACCGCAGGUCAGCUAUACUGCGGUGAAUACGUUCCCGGGCCUUGUACACACCGCCCGUCACGUCAUGGGAGCUGGUAACACCUGAAGUCAGUAUUCUAACCGUAAGGAGGGAGCUGCCGAGGGUGGGGCUGGUGACUGGGACGAAGUCGUAACAAGGUAGGUGUACCGGAAGG
rnacentral:rRNA from 1 species